CUAACGCAUUAAGUACCCCGCCUGGGGAGUACGGCCGCAAGGCUAAAACUCGAAGGAAUUGACGGGGGCCCGCACAAGCGGCGGA
rnacentral:rRNA from 1 species